GACGAACCGUCCAAACGUUAUUCGGAAUCACUGGGCUUACAGAGUUCGUAGGCGGUCUGGAAAGUUGGGUGUGAAAUCCCUCGGCCUAACCGAGGAACUGCGCUUGAAACUACCAGACUCGAGGGAGAUAGAGGAAAGCGGAACUGAUGGUGGAGCGGUGAAAUGCGUAGAGAUCAUGAGGAAGACCAGUGGCGAAGGCGGGUCUCUGGACAGUUCCUGACACUGAGGCACGAAGGCCAGGGGAGCAAACGGG
rnacentral:rRNA from 1 species